UACAGAGGGUGCGAGCGUUAAUCGGAAUUACUGGGCGUAAAGCGCGCGUAGGCGGCUCUGCAAGUCGGAUGUGAAAUCCCCGGGCCUAACCUGGGAACUGCAUUCGAGACUGCAUUGCUAGAGUAUGGGAGAGGGAAGUGGAAUUUCCGGUGUAGCGGUGAAAUGCGUAGAUAUCGGAAGGAACAUCAGUGGCGAAAGCGACUUCCUGGACCAAUACUGACGCUCAUGUGCGGAAGCGUGGGGAGCAAACAGG
rnacentral:rRNA from 1 species